UCCCGCACAUCGCCGCCCUCUGGCGGUCGGCAGCGGCCCCGCCGGGCCCGCCCCGUCUCCACUGGCAACGCCGUAACGCGGAGGUGCGGCCGGGCCCGGGGGGCGGCUGCUCCCGGCCGCUCCGCGCCGCCGGUACCCGGCCCGCACGGCGGAACGGGCGGGCUAAGUCUGUUCAUAUAAUGAAUAAACACACGUCAGGAAAAUGGCACAAUUGUUGGACAAUGAUCAGUUUUUGGAAAAAGUUGGUGUGACCACAAAAUCCAGUGUACAGUGUGAUCAUCCACCAUGGCAAGAUUUUACUCUGUCCAAUCUAGGACUGGAUAAUGGAUUGCUGGUAAUGCAUAUUAAUGAGACACAAGAUCUGCUGAGAGUAGAAAUGAAGAAAAUACAGUCAAAAAAGGUACAAACCACAGAAGAAUGGCUAAGAAACUACAGUUUAGAAUCCUUGCAAUUAACAUUAGAACAUCUGGUGAAUGAAGGCAAUAUUAUUUUGGAUUCAAGAAACAGUGUUGAAGAGAGAGAGUUUACAGAAGAGACUGUUACCAAUUUUGAGUCCAGACUUUCUGAGGUGAUUGAACUUUAUCAGCAGCGAAUUCAGUGGCUGUUGAAGGACAGCAGAAAGGUGUUUGGCCUUGUGAAAGGAACCAAAGUUGGACUUGUGGUUGAUGUGUCUGAUAUGAACGACAGACCUCAACUACUGGAUUUUCAGAAAGACCUUUUGUGUUUAAUAGAUGAACAGCUGUGUUACAAGAAGCAAUUGUAUUGCCUCUCAUUCGGUACAGAAAUUUCACCUCUGUGGGAGAGUCCAAAACCCAUCAAUGUUCAUGUGCUACGUGAAGCAAGACAGUGGGUACAGCAGCUGGCCCCUGGUGGAGGCUGCAAUUUACUGAAAGCCUUAAAACAUGUCCUUACAAUGACAGAGCUGAAUUCUCUGGUUCUUAUUGUAGGAAGCUGCACUAAUCAGCCUUUGGAAAUACUGGCUGACUAUGCUCAGCAAUGUAUGCUGGGGAGAAAACUUCUGGCUCAUGUUGUUAUAUAUGAUUGCAGCAGUCCCGCUGCUCUUGCAGUUCUAAAGAACCUUGCAGAACUUGUAAGAGGCCGUUAUCAUUGCUACUCUUCAAAGGGGGAGAUUUCUGAUAGUAGUGAUCUUAAUCUGCUACUUCAAGAAUCCCAGAAGGCUAAGGACCUGCUCAAGAGUAUCAAACAAAAUUUUCAAAGGCGAAUUGGUGGCUUGCUUACCAGUAGAAUAGCAGAUGUUUCCACAGAAUUUGCAAAUACAGCAACUUCCAGCUUCCUACCAAAGCCUCCAAAGCAUGAAGGACCAUUAGUUAUUCAAACACCAUGCUUCCUGGCCGAAACCUCAACAGACUGGUUACAGACAAAUGGAUUGAAAGCUAAGAAGUUAAACCUUUAUCAAGUUUUGGCUCCCAAUGCUUUCUCUCCUGUGGAAGAAUUUGUACCUAUUCUUCAAAAAACAGUAUCAUCAACUCUACAUGAGAAAGUGAUGAUGCAGUUUGAAUGGCAUGAUGGAACUAUGAAAAAUAUCCAUGUUGACCUGCCAGUAUUAUACAACUAUCAGAAACUCCUUGCUAAAAUGGUAAGAAUCUAUGAAAAACGAAUCGACUGGCUGUCCGUUGCUAGCAGAAGAAUAUGGGGAAGUGUUUGUGAAAAGAGGGUGGUUAUACUUGUUGAUAUAUCAGCGACAAACUCUAUGUACAUCAUCCAUAUCCAACAUUAUUUGCGACUUUUACUUGAGGAACAAAUGUCAGAUAAGGAUUACUUCAAUAUUAUAGCAUUUGGGAGUGACCUUGUGCCUUGGCAGCUGGAACUAGUUCCUUCCCAACCAGAAAACUUACAAAAAGCUUGGAGGUGGGUAUUGAGCUUGCAAUGCAGAGGGAGUAGAAAUUUCAUGAGUGCUCUCAGGCGAGCUGUGGAAGUAGACUUCAAAUAUAAAGAUAAACACAAAUCACAAGGACUUUACCUCUUGACUACUGGAAUACCUGAUCAGGAAACACACUUAAUCAGUACCUAUAUGGCUGAGGUUUGCAGAGGUUUUGAUUUGCAGCUUCAUGUCUGUCUGUUCAGUGUAAUGGAAGAUGUUGAAUCGAGUGGGAUUAUUCCAGCCCGCUAUGCUAACCCAACUGAAACUGCCAUCGCUUUUAAGGAAAUAGCACCUGCAGCCAAUGGGAGAUUUCAUUGGUUUGGAGAAGCAGGUAUUUUUGAAAGUGAUGAUAUCACUGUUAUUGUGUCUGAAAUUGAAAAAGCAAACAACUACUCCCAAAAGUGUGCAUUCUUAGUGGAAUCCUUAAAGCAACGUUCAGGAAAUCAGUCUGCUAAUCCACUUGUACCAGAAGCAAGCUCAAACAUGCUUGUGACAAAAGAGAAAAGAAAGCCACAGAAGCUGCCAUCUCCAAAACCCACAGCUCUGAGCCUGGCUAGAAUGUAUAUUAAAGACAACCACAGUGCAGAGAAAACUACUUCCGUAGGAGUAUUGGCAUGGCGUCCUACUAGUGCAAAAGCAGAAAUUCCACCAGUACAAACAAUAAAACAAUGGCCUCAGACUAAGAAUAAAAGAAAACAUAAAUCAAGGAAACAGACAGAGUGUUCUGUGUCAGUAUUUUAUACUGAUAAGGAAGAAAUGUAGGUACAGUAUACCGAAAGUAUCCAAGGACAAUGUGCACAAGAAAGAGUGUUCCAUCUGUUACAUUGCCAAAAAAAGAGGAAAUCUGUUCAAGCAAAGAGUGGCUGACUAAGUACAGUAUUAAAAAACUUAAACUGGA